GACCGUCCGAGUUGUAAUCUGGAGAAGCGUUUUCAGCGCCGGCCCGCGUACAAGUCCCCUGGAACGGGGCGUCGCAGAGGGUGAGAAUCCCGUCUCUGACGCGGUCAUGUCCGGUGCGUUGCGAUGCGCUCUCGAAGAGUCGAGUUGUUUGGGAAUGCAGCUCAAAACGGGUGGUAAAUUCCAUCUAAAGCUAAAUACUGGCGAAAGACCGAUAGCGAACAAGUACCGUGAGGGAAAGAUGAAAAGCACUUUGGAAAGAGAGUCAAACAGUACGUGAAAUUGUUGAAAGGGAAACGCUUGAAGUCAGUCGCGUCUCUCGGGACUCAGUCGCACCCCCUCAAAGGGUGCGGCGUACUUCCCGAGUCUGGACGGGCCAGCGUCGAUUUCGACCGUCGUACAAAGGCGUGAGGAACGUGGCACCUUCGGGUGUGUUAUAGCCUCGCGUUCCGUAUGCGACGGUGGGGAUCGAGGAUCGCAGCGCGCCUCUAACGGUCGGGGUUCGCCCACGUAACGCGCUUGGGACGCUGGCUUAAUGGCUUCAAGCGACCCGUCUUGAAACACGGACCAAGGAGUCUAACAUGCUCGCGAGUGUUCGGGUGGAAAACCCGCGCGCGUAAUGAAAGUGAAAGGUUGGGACCCUCUUUUUCGAAAGGGGGGCACCGACGCCCGGACUUGAGCUGCUGCGACGGUUCCGAGGCGGAGSGCGUAUGUUGGGACCCGAAAGAUGGUGAACUAUGCCUGAGUAGGGCGAAGCCAGAGGAAACU
rnacentral:rRNA from 1 species